rnacentral:lncRNA from 1 species
AUUGUAUUUUUUAGUAAUGAAACAAAUGACGCCUUAAAUUAACUUUACUUAUGCGUUAAAGCCUACAUGUCAUUUCUAACAAUCUCCAACAAAUGACUGUAAGUUACUGGGUAGAUGAAGGAGAACGAGAUUUUAACAAUUGAGUUCUACGCUAGAAAAUGGUAUUAAGCUAAACAUUAAUAUCUAAAGAUUUGAAUUGAUGCGUAGUGAAGUAAGACAACAACCUUGUUAGAGAGAGUGAAUUGUAUCUUGAACUUCUAAUAACACUGGUUGAGACCCUUACAACACGUUUUAUCUCUAGUUUUGGUUUUGUUUCUACAAUAUAGAUUUGUGCCUUUAUGGGCAUACACAUAAAAUGAAAUUCAAGUCAUCAUGAAAGCUCUAGAAAGAGACCUUUAAACUCUUUCAUAGAAAGGCGGUCCCACCUUCACUAUCACUUUAUAUGCUUCAUAAAGUUUACCAAAACAAGCCACUCAAAAAGAGCUAUGGAGACUUCAUCAUUAUCCACAUAAGUUAUAGACCACUCAAUGGUUUUAGUAUCAUCUAUCAAGUCCGCAUUUAAAGAUUGUCCACACAAUGGGCUAUGGACCAUCAAGUCUACCGCAACAGACCACCCAACAAGAGGCUAUGGACCAUAAAGUCUAUCGCAAUUGACCACCCAAUAUCAACUGCUAUAAAUCUCCGAAGAGCUUUAGGCUCAUGUUCACUAAGGAAUCUAUAACCAUUUUCCUUGUUAGCCCUUUGGUUAAAGGAUCAACUAGGUUAUUCUCAUACCGAACAAAUUCCAAAGAAAUGGUUCCUUCCUUUAGCAGUUGUUUCAUAGCUCCAUGCAUAAGGCAUAUAUGUCUUCUUUUGCCAUUAUAAACACUAUUCUUGGCAAUAUCUAUGGUAGUAUGUCAAUCACAGUGUAUGAACAUAGGCACAGAUGUUCCCUACAAUGGUACAUCUUCUAGUAGGCUUUUAAUCCACUCAGCAUCUUGUUCAGCCAACUCUAAUGCUAUAAACUCAGAUUUCCAUAGUGGAUCUAACUAUGCAAGUCUGUUUUGUAGACUUCCAAGAUAUUGCUCCACCCCUGAGCAAAAAUACAUGUCCACUAGGAGAGUUAACCUUAUCAUUGUUUGUAACCUAGUUUGCAUCAUAAUAUCCUUCUAAUAUGGCAGGAAAUUUGUUAAAGUGCAAACAAUAAUAUUUUUCCCUUUAAGAUAUCUCAACAGAUGAUGUAAAGCAUCAUAGUUGCAUCUAUCGGUAUUACGUGUAUAUAUACUUAAACUACGAACAACAUGUACAAUAUUAGGUCUAGUGUAGUUCAUUAAACACAUAAUACUACCUAUGAGGUUUGCAUAUUCAGUUAUUAAUAUAAUUAAAUGUAAAAUCAUUAAUUAUUUAGAAAUCCAAAUAAAAAUAACUUUAUGUAUUUCAUUUCUAACCUUUCUACUUCUUUUUUUUAUUGAAUAAUUCAUAGUUAGUUUUCUUUAUAUAAUGGAAGAGAAAUAGUAAUUAUAAAUACAAUGAAAUAAAAUGAAAAUGUCAAUUACAGUAAAAUCAAAGUUGUAAUAACUAAAUCUAACUUUUAAAAAGGGCAAAAUGGAGAGAAAAAAGUUUCUCCCAAUAGCCACUUUUAUAUAUAGUAUAGAUGUUUUUAAAUACAAUUAUACAAGUGUUAUUUAUCAUCAUUUAACUCUAAAAUAAUUGACGUUUUGGUAUUUUUCCUAUGUUAUGUUAUGUUCUAUCUAGUAUUAAAAAUGUGGUGUAGAGAUUGUUCUAAUGUAAUUGGAGAUGAAUCAUGGCUGCAUUGAAGUCUAUAUUUGUUGUCAAACUCAAGUUCGUAUUAGAAAAAAGUUGUGUUAUGAUUGAAGUUUUACUUUUAAAACUUGAAAAUUGACAAUAAACAAUAAUAUAUUUACUUUUAAAACAUAAAACUAAACAUUAUUAUUUUAGGAAUCUUAAAAUAGAAUAAAUUAGAAAUCUUUAUAAUUAGUAUUGUUCACAUUCAUGAUUAUUGACUAAGUAUUCAAUUCAUUAAUCCUUCCUUCCCAUCAUCACCGUUGCAUUCUUCCCUCAUCAUUCUCUGAAAAUCUCAUAAUCUCUCCCUCGAUGAUGGGCUCCUUGAUGAAGAACAUUGCUUUCUUUUUCUUCUUCGAUUCACUUCACUCAUUUGAAUUUUCGUCAUGGCAGCAGAGGAAUGUGGUGAGUUUCUCCAUUUGCCGAUCGCAUCCAGGGCACUUGAAAUUUUCCGGAAUUCUCCCACUGGUGUGUGGAAAUUCGAACCGGCAACAAGGAUGAGUAAUUCCUUGAAGUUCGUCGUGGUGAUUCUUGAAAGCUAUGUCGAAACCCUUAUCGGUGGCUUCUUGUUUCCAUGAAUCGAAACUCCCCAGGGUGGGCAACAUGGUGGUGCUGUGCCCAUUCAGGAUCACGUUUGAUCCUUUGCUCAGAACUGCCCAUCCUCCUUCUUUGUCGUAGCUGAGGAGUUUUUUUAUUUCUUGCAUCAGAGGAUCGCAAUCGUCGGCUUUUCCUAAUUGAAUCUUAGAGUAAAGCAUGCUCUCGAUUCUAGUCCAGAAGAACCAAAUCAUGGUAAGAUCUUGCCAGCAAUACCCAAGUUUUUCUGUUGUGAUUGUUGUAAUAAUUUUCUUGACGCGUUCUCUUUUGCUGCUUUUUCCCACGUACACCAUUUCUAAGGGUAUGCGUGCUGCUUGUGCUACAGUCUUCGCUGUCGUUGUGAAUUUUCUUAUCCAUUCUAUGUCGUCCCCUCCAUAUAAGAAGAUGUAUCUCUCUUCCUUAAUCUGUGUUUUGAAAAAAGAAUUUUUUUAUAAAAAAAAGGCCUUUCAGAAACUAGCUGAUUAUUUUAGAAUGGCUUAGGAUUUGAUUAUGGGGAUUUUAGUAAUAAGUCAUUGAUGAGUUACCCAGUUUAGAACUGCGGGGUCAAUGCCAUCGACAAGCAACUCGAGCCGCCAGGUCUCUUCCUUCCAGAGAACUUCCUCUUUCACGCUGGUGAAUGGAAAGGCAAGGCUUCCCCAGAUCCACAUCAUGUGGAUUGCAUUCGGGCUUACAACUUUACCUUGAGGGUCUAACACCACUAGGAUGGGCCUGUUUCUGAAUUGCCAUACUUCCCCAAUGAAUCUGGUAACUGCCUUGGAGAUCAAUGUAGGAUGGUGGACUAUGUGCCAUGGCAUUAUUGACAAGAGAUACUCAAACCUCUUUUGCAUCGAAUCAUUCCACUUGAUAGAAUGGUCCACAAUUGGGAUCCACACUACCUCAAAUUGACUCUCAACCCGCAUUCCUUGGGCUCUUGACUCAUUGUAAAGCUGAUCAAGAAUUGAAAGCUCAUCAUGGGAGAUAUUCAAGUCUGAGAUGAGAAGUAGGACAUUUUUCCUUUUUAGCACAUCAAGGUUAACCUGUUUUUAACAGAGAAUCAAGAGAUAUUUAGAAGAAUGACUGAGUGGUAAGAAUUGAUAAUGUCAAUUGAGUUUGUUUGCAAUGGAGAGAUGUCCAGACCCUUUGGCCUGUAGAACCAUCAACUAGAGGCUGCAGAUCAUCUUUAGGAUAAAUCAAAGCCUUGAGAACCUUCAUGUUAUCCAGGUGGUUCAUUUCAAAAAGAUUAAUGAGCAUUUGAAAUGAUUCGAUGUCUUUCUUUUCCUCUGCAUUAAGGGGUAGCCAUUUAUCAGUAUUAGUAUUACAUCACCUACAUGUCUGCAGAUUUUGAGAGAGACAGAACUAUCUAUUUAAUCUACCGAUAUGUUGGUGGCAGAGUACCAGCUUCUUUUUGAGAUGAUCACAUAUGUUUUUAAGUUUGUGAGCAAGUGUUGAUAGUUCCCAUGCGUCAGUACUGGUUGAUAAAGCUAGCCUGAAACCAGACAACCAUAAUGCUCAUGGUGCUAUGUAACCAUGAAAGAGGAAGAAAAAACUGAAGAUGGAUGACUGGAAAAUAGAGGAUGAGGACAUACUCAUAUCCCAUGCUAGUUAAGCUAGUAAUUUGAGUUGCACUGGAAACAAUACUCCUAAUGGUCCAGUAGACUGCAGUUGGGAUAUGGGCCACUGCUGUGGACAUUGCUGGAACCUCUUGUGAGAUAUAUGCUGAUGGAAGUUCCUUCAAGUCAAUAAUGCACCAAGUUACAUCCAGUAUAGCUGCCACAAGUUCUUUUAGCGCAUCAAACUUUGGCUUUAGUGCAAUUGAGUGCUCAAAGAUUCCUGGAAGUUGCUUCAAAAUUGCCAUUGCUUUGGCAAGUUGGUUUUGUGAGUAAAUCUGGGCAAGAAGCCAGAAUUCCCCGUAGUUCAAAGCAAAAGCUGCUAAUGUCAGCACCAGCUUAGCAUCCCACCUGUAGCUUGCCAACAUAUUAAAGAUUGCCAAUGUUGUUGCAUGUGGAUCUAUCCCCUCCAGAGCCUUGUAUGAUAUCUGGAUCAAGUUUAUCAUUUCAAUAUGUCUGUACUUAAUAUUACAUCAUAUUACACUAUCACUGGUGUAUAGGGCUAGUUUCAUUGCCAUUGCAUGGAAAAUAGUUGUUAUUAGAAACUUGAAUAAAUCAGUAAUGAUUUUCCAAUCACCUCACUAGAAAUCCUAUCAAUUGUGUAGGACAAAGCUUCCAACAUGGUAGUGAGGCCCGCUUGAUGGGUGCCUGUUUCCUCCAAGCUCUCUAGUUGUUCAUAUGAGCCCUGUGUUUUACCGUCCAUAAUUAGUUAGGCAUAGAAGGGAAGUUAUUUUACAUGAAAAUGGAAAAGGUCAUCAAAUGAAUUAGGUCAAUUUACACCUCUAAGUAAACUAGACUAAUAAUUGUAUCAACUUAAACUUUGGACUUUCAUAAGUGUCGGCUUACAUACUUCAUUACGAUCUGUUUGGACAAAUAUCACGUGAGACUUAUAAUUUUAUCAAGUAAACUACUAAACUUUAAUCAAUGAAUCAAUUUAGACUCAACUAAAUUAUCUUUUGAAAUUUAUCCAUGCAUCGAUUCUAAUAGUCUAUUUUAUUGACCCAAGGUUUGAAGAAAUCUCCACGUUUAAAAGUUGAAUGCAUGGACAAUUUUAAACUGUUAUUUUAAUAAAAGGUUUAAAUAAGUUUACUUAUAAACAAUUUAGAAGUUUAAUUAAAAUAAUCUACGAUACUUUUCCAAGUUGAGUUCGAAUGGGGCAUGAGGUGUUGUAAAUGUUCAUGGUCUAAAUUAAUGCAUUCAUUUAAUUUAUAUCAAAACAACCCUUUAGUUUAGAGAUUUUAAUUGAAAAUUUCUCUGGUUAUAAACACCCAAUUUCAACAAUUUAAGACGACUCUCUGUUGUCUGCUUUAAGUGUUUGAAAUUUUUUGUAGGCAGAAUGCUUAUAUCAUCACAUUCUAUCAACUCAUUGGAUGAACUACUUGUUGAAAAGGAUUAGUUCCAUACCGUGGCAUCAGCCGCUAAGGUGGCACGUUUCAGGAUGUUUUCAACCAGGCGUAGAAGCGAUCUUGUGUCAACAUCUCGAUCAUCAGGAUCAUGGGUGGCUAGAAUUUGCUUCAUCAUCACAUUGUCGUCAGAAAUGGCGGACAAGAACUUGUUACCCUUGGCCAAUUGAUGUCGAGAGGCGAGCGAGAACUUAUUACCACUGUCCAUUGUUAUACAACACAAAUGUAGGGAAGUCACAGCAGGUUGUGUGGAAUGGGAAUGUAUGGAAGAUGAAUUGCCAAAUUUAUAGCCUCAAGAAGGAGCAAAGUUUCUGUUGAAUCAACUUUUUUUCUUUCUCUUUUUGGUUAAAUUUCUUCUAUGUCAAGACGCCUUUGUUUGUGGACCCUUUAACUUACAGUUUACAUUUCAUUUUUGUCUGCAGGAUCAGAAUAUUUAUCUGGGUCUUACGUGUUCUGAUUGGUAGAAUCGAAAAUGGAAAGGCAGUAAGAUUCAAAACCAAAACUCUAAUUCAUUAGCAUUUAGGAUUUCAGAUCGUAUCUGGUUUAUGCUUCUGCUUGCUUAGUUUGUUAUGUUGAAUUUGCCUGAUGUUUAGUGAUUUAUGGAUCCUAUAUGGUUUUGUGAUGAUGUCUUUUAGUUUAUUUGAAUCUUCUACUUAGAAAAAUCUAUUAAAACAAUAUUUUAAAGAUCUAUCAUGAAAUAUGAAAUUUCAAACGAUAUUCUAAAUGUUUGUGUAUAUAUAUUGUUCUCUCUGUAGUUGUGGAUUAUGUAAAAUCUUUUUAUGUUUUGUCCUUUUUUUCUCUUAUGGAAAAUGUCAAAAUCCCAAACUUUCUGUGAUGUUAAUGUGAUGAAAAUUUAUCACGAUAUUCUUUUCAUAAAUUGAGGAAGAAGAGAACAUGAAAAAUGAUCCAAAAGCAUUUAGAGAGAAUUUGAAUUGACUUCAGAAAAAAAUGGGAAUUCAUUUUUAUUUAAAUUUUUUUAUAAAACAAACUAGGAGAAUUGUAAAAAUUGAUUCAAAUUAGAAAAUUUUGAUUUUUUUUUUUUGUGUGCAUAUCAUCAAUUUUUUUCAAAAAAAUAUUACUUUAGUGCUGGUUUUCAUAUUGUUUAUAGUGGGUGGCAUGGCCUCAAAAUUAAUUAUUGUGUUGUGCUUGUUUUUAUUUUCACCAGGACUCCACAAAGUAUAUACAUAUGGUCUUUGUGAAAUAAUAAUUCAAGUCUCAUAUAAUGACGAAACUAUUAUUAUUUCUCCUUUGUGUUGUAAUUCACUUUUCUGAAAUGGUUUGAAAAUGAUAGUAAGUUUGAGAAAAAACAAUUCAAGAUUCUAUUUUUGUUUUGUCUUUGAAAUUAAAUUAAGAUUCCAACAAAUAAUAGUCAAAGAAUUUGUUAGGAAAAUUACUGGAUUUUAUAAAUAAAAAAGAAACAAAAACAAAUACCAAAAAGUAUAAACUUUAUGGAACAAAAUUUCAAUUGAGUAAUAAUUGAUUGCUAAAUAAACUUCUACCACAUUACAUUUGUCAGUCAUUUUCUAUUAUUAUUGAUGUGGACAACUUUUGAUUGCUUCCUUUCUUGACUUGCAAAUAUAGGUGAGAAUUUGUUAGGAAAGUAGUGAUAAUUAAUUAGAAGAAUAAUGUUAUACUUUAUUGAAUAAACUCAAAACUGCAAAGUUGCUUCCUUUCUUUACUUGCAAACGUAGAUUGAGAAUGUUCAUAAUGUAUAUUAAAUUGGAAAAUUGUGAAGGGGAGACAACGGGAAAGGCUUUGGCCCCUUGCUUUUGCAUUGCAUAUAUUUCAUUACUGAUUGCGUUUUUAAACACGAGAAGAAUACUAAACUGUAUCAAUUGUACAUAUUUUUUUUUGUAUAAUAAAUUUUGUAUCAAGUGUAUCAAUUGUAUAGACCGGUGUAUUAUUAAGUUUAUUAAUUAUAUAACUCAAUGAAUCAUUAUCAAGUAUAUCAAUAAUAUACUAGUAAACUAUAUCAACAUAUAAUAAAGUAAAUCAUUAUCAUGUAUAUCAAUCAAGUUUACAAGUUUAUAUUAAUAGUGUAUUAGUAGAACUUCAAGUAUAUCAAAUAUAUUUAACCAAUCGAGUAUAUCAAUGAAGAAUACUAAGUGUAUAUGUAAUACAUCAUAUCACGUGUAUUAAACAUAUCAAAUUCAUUAAAUGUACUAGUGAAGCAUAAUAAGUUUAUCAGCAACGCAUCACGUGUAAGGGCAAAUUUAUUAAGAGGCUAGGAGGGCAGGUGCCCCCCUCACCAUUUCCAGUUUUUGUAUUUUAAUAUUAAUUUUGAAGUGUUAAAUUCCAAUAUAUAUUAAAUAAUACUCUAUUGUUACUAAGGGCUCGGUAACGUUUCCAUUUCCUAUUUCAUGUUUCUUGUUUCAUGUUCCUUGUUUCUUCGGUUUUUUAGAACAAGAAACAUGAACGUGUUUGAUAACUGUUUCUGCUUUCUUUAUUUUCUUCGAGAUUUAUUUUUUAUUUUAUUCAAGUUAUUUAUUCACAUCUAAUCUAAUUACACUACCCACUUUAUCAAAUCUAGAUAGGAAUGUCUUUUAAUAAUCUUAUGGAGAUCAAAAUGAAUAUUGGGAUUUGAAGGAUUGAGUCAGUGAGAAGGAAGACGAAAACCCACGAUGAAGAGGAUUGAAAUCCACGACGAAGAGGAAGACAAAGACCUACGGCGAAAACACAAAUCCAACGCAAACCCAAAUCCACGCGAAGAGGAAGAAAAAAAUUGAGAUACGAUGAAGAGAAAGACGUCGUGUAGAGGAAGACAAUGAGAGGCGAGAAGGAAGAUGGCAAAGACAAUGAGAGGAAGAGGAAUACGAUGGUUAUUUGGGGAAGACGAUGGAGAUAAGAGGAGAAGAAAAAGAAAACCGCGUGGAGAGUGGUUAUUUGAGGAAGAAGAUGGAAAUAAGAGGAAGAAAAAAAAAAUCAUGUGGAAAAAUGAAAAAGGAAAUAGAAAAAUAAUUGAAAAAAAAAAGAAACCGAUAAAAAUAAUUGAGAAAAAGAAAAAGAAAAAUAAUAAAAAUAAUUGAGAAAAAUAAAAAGAAAAUUAGUAAAAAUAAUUAAGGAAAAGAAAAAGGAAACCAAUAAAAAUAAUUGAGAAAAAAAUCCAUAAAAAUAAUUGAGAAAAAUGAAAAGAAAACCGAUAAAAAAUAAUUGAGAAAAAGUAAAAUCAAACCGUAAAAAAUAAUUGAGAAAAAAGAAAAGGAAACUAAUAAAAAUAAUUGAGAAAAAGGAAAAGGAAGCCGAUAAAAUAAUUAUGAAAAAAGAAAAAGGAAACGAAUAGAAACAAUUGAGAAAAAGUAAAAGGAAAAGGAACCAAUAAAACUACUUGAGAAACGGGUUAGAAACUAUUUUAUUUUUCCAAUAAUUCCUUAUAAAAUGAGAAACAUUUUUACUUUUUUGAAAACGAGAAACAAGGAACGUUAACAAGCACAUUUGUUUCUUAAAAAAUGAAAACAGAAACAGAAAACAAGAAAUAAGAACUUUACCAAACGGGCAAACUUAUCGGUGACACAUUUAAGUGUAUCAGUGAAACAAAAUGAGGGAAAAUUUGUAACUUUCUAUUUUCAAAUCUAGGUUCGGGUUGGAAUUGGGUUUUGACAUUUUUGUAAAACCAAAAGUUGCGUAUUAUAGGUCAAAUUUAUUAAAUAUAUAACGAUAAAAGUGCAAGAAACCCUAAAAGUUAUAGUGAGUGUAUUUUAAAUAAAUUGAUAAGUUAAAUUAUAUCAUGCAUCAAAUAAUAUACGUAUAAUCUUUUUAAAUACUCGAGUGUAUCAGACAUUAAUAAAUAAAUAUUUGAAAUAACAUCUCAAGUGCAUUGACAAUAUACGAAAGUAUCAACAAUUGUAUAUAACAAUAAUUAAUAUUCCAAAUGCAUCAACAAUAUCAUACAACAACUUACAACAAUGAACAUUCAAACAAUAAUUUAUUUUGGAGUAAAAGUAUAUGCAUUACAUUUUAAGGGUAUCAGGUAUAUCAAAGGUUCAUCAAGAGCAUAUCAAGUGUAUCAAGAAGAAUCAAGUGUAACAAGGAGUAUAGAUUUAUCAAGAUGUUUGGUGUAUCAAAGAGUAUCAGGUGCAUCAAGUGUAUCAAAGAGUAUCAGGUAUAUUAGGUGCAUUAGGCAUGUGUAGAGGUGUUAAAAAAAUAAUUGAAAAUCGAGCUGAAACCAAAUGUAUGCGGUUCGAUUUGAAUUGUGUUAAAUUGAAAUUGCUUCUUAUUCUGUUUAGUUUGGUUUAAUACUAAAACCAAUUCUAAAAUUAAACUGAAUCACCUUAUUUUAAAAAAACUAUAUAUAUAUAUAUAUAUAUAUAUAUAUAUAUAUAUAUAUAUAUAUAUAUAUAUAUAUAUAUAAUUGAAUAUAUAAGUAUAAAUGUAUAACUUAGGGUGGAGCAGUAGAGGUAGACGACACUCGACAGAAGUGGACGAAACACAAAUGCAACGAUUGAUUCGACUCCUCAUCUUCGACUCUCCUCAGUCCUCACUCCGUUCAACGUCCACAGCGACUCCUCGUCUCCUUAGUCCUCAUUUCGCUCGGCGCUCAGUACUAUUGCGUUUGAAGUUUUAAAUCUCGAUUCGAAUAAUCUCAAACCCUCUGACAGUGACCUUCACUCAGUCCUUAAGUCCUCACUCAAUGAGAUUUAAAAUCAAACUGCAUGAUUCGGUUUGACACAAACGAAUGGUUUGGUUCAGCUUUGGAUGAGAUUUUUUUUCAUUUUGCAAUUUGAUGCGGUUUCAGCUUCAAACCAUGAACACUCCUAGUAUUCGGUCUAUCGAAUGUAUAUCAGUAACGAUGACAUUUUGUGACAUUUUACAUCUUGCAUAUGUGAGUUGAGUUUUGUUUUUACCAUUUUUACAAAUAAUAAUUUGAGCCAAAAAUCCUUGGAGUUUUAAAGGGGGCACAAUCACUAUUCCAAAGGUAGAAUAUAAUAAAAUUCAAAAUUAAUAUUAAAAUACAAACUAGGAAUGUGAGGGGGGCAUGUGCCCCUUGGCCCCUUCGCUUAUGAAUGUGUGCGUUAUGAACUUAAUUAUUAUAACUUGUGUUAGCUUUUUUUUUUUGCAAGAGUCCUUAUAAACGUAAGACUACCACUAUCUUCAAUCCUCUAACAUGAAGGAAACAUUAAUUAUAAACAAAAAUAAGAUAAGAAAGAUGAUUUUAAAAGCAUAAUCUAAUAAUAAUAAACUUAAAAAAUCCUAAAGAAGAAAAAUAGAUUCCAAUCCAAAUUUUCACCAAAAACCAGAAAGAAGAAAAGAAAAAAAUCGUCAGAAUCAAAUUCCUCAAUCGUUAUAAAACGUCACAAUUGCAAUUCUCUUAUUAUCAAAAGUCAAAACUAAUGAAGAGUUAAAUUAAAGGCAACAAAGUCCUGUAGCUCUAAUUGAGGAGAAGUACCAUCGCCAUCUCAGCACAUCGAUAUAUAAAAUAAAAAAACAACUCAGAAACGAAAAUUAAUACUCAUUCAACAAAAAAAAAUUCAGGAAAACGAUUUAUCAAGCACUUAAUAUGCAAUGAUUAUUGUUCAGUAAGUUAACCAGAAACAGGAAGCUAAAGGUAAGUAGUAACAAAAACUCCUCGAAUACACAAAAGGAACAGAAUCAAAUCUCAAAAACCAGCCACCAUAUAUUAGCAAAAAGAGGACGAGACUGACGAACUUAAACCAUGAACGAAGAGGAAAUUUUCCAUUUCAGCAACCAAACGGAUCAAAGUAGAAGUAAGUUUCAAUCAACAAAGUUAAAAAAUCAUUUGAAAUUCCAAAACAAGUAAAAAUAAAAAACAAGAGAGAAGAGAAGAUUACGGUAGAGAGAAAUGCGGGACGUUGUGACAGAUUGAAGCUUCAGAUUCAGUGAAAGUGGAGAAGUGGAACUAAUUGCGCGAAUAGUUAUGAAUUUGUAAAAUGCUGUGCGCCUCGCGAUUUUUGAACGGUGAUUUUAUUUAUCUAUUUUAAUAGGUCCUUUUGGGAAUUUAAGAAGGUUUUCCCCCCUCUCUUCGCUCUUAGGUUAACACUUGAAAACUUUUAUGAAACCAAGAUUUUAGUCUCUAAAGAAUUUAGGGUUUAAGUUUUUUUUUUUCUUUGGGUUUUCUAGUUCAAAGAGCGAAAGAACAACUUACCAAAUUGCAUUCACCUCUUAGCUAAGAUAUCUUUGUUGUAUAAAGAACAAUCCUAAUUGGAUGUUAAAGUUGUAAGGGCAUAAACAACUUUGUUUUUCUCUCACUAAGGAUGUGGCAAAAUUGAGAAAUAUUAACGAAGUUUACAGCAACAAAAAUAACGUCCUCCAUUAACACUUAUCAUCUAAAUAGUUUUGCUUUCUAUUCAACAUAUGAAUAACUUCUAAAGAAACAGAUUUUACCUCAAUGGCGGCAUGUCUGAGACGACCCUAAAAAACCUUCCAAAACAAACAGAUUCUACCUCAAAACAAACAGAUUCUACCUCAAUGGCGGCAUGUCUGAGACGACCCUAAAAAACCUUCCAAAACAACUUUGGCCUCAAGCAUAUUGACACUUCAACCUUUGCUAAUACUCUUGUAGCCCCUAGGAUUGAUCACCCCAACAACCCUGUGAACUUGAAAUAUGAGUUAGAGGUGAUCAUUGAUCGAACGAUAUUGUUUCUAGAGGCUCAAAUUGGAGUCGAUGAACACUGUUUCGAUGUUCAUUAGUUGACAUUUGACAAUUUAGAUGAAUAUUGUGCAAUAGAUCGGCCAAUCAGUCGAAUUUUUCCAUUUACAUCUCUG